rnacentral:rRNA from 1 species
UACAGAGAGUGCGAGCGUUGUUCGGAAUUAUUGGGCGUAAAGCGCUUGUAGGCGGCACGUCAAGUCGCGUGUGAAAUCCCCAGGCUUAACCUGGGAAGUGCGCGCGAAACUGACGAGCUUGAGUGCCGGAGAGGGUCGCGGAAUUCCCGGUGUAGAGGUGAAAUUCGUAGAUAUCGGGAGGAACACCAGUGGCGAAGGCGGCGACCUGGACGGACACUGACGCUGAGACGCGAAAGCGUGGGGAGCAAACAGG